rnacentral:rRNA from 1 species
CCUACGGGAGGCAGCAGUAGGGAAUCUUUCACAAUGGGCGAAAGCCUGAUGGAGCAACGCCGCGUGCAGGAUGAAGGCCUUCGGGUUGUAAACUGCUUUUAUAAGCGAGAAAUAUGAUGGUAACUUAUGAAUAAGGAUCGGCUAACUACGUGCCAGCAGCCGCGGUCAUACGUAGGAUCCGAGCAUUAUCCGGAGUGACUGGGUGUAAAGAGUUGCGUAGGUGGCAUAAUAAGUAGCUAGUGAAAUCUGGUGGCUCAACCAUUCAGACGAUUAGCUAAACUGUUAAGCUCGAGACCGUUAGGGGUAACUGGAAUUUCGAGUGUAGGAGUGAAAUCCGUAGAUAUUAGAAGGAACACCAAUAGCGUAGGCAGGUUGCUGGGACGGUUCUGACACUAAGGCACGAAAGCGUAGGGAGCAAACGGGAUUAGAUACCCCUGUAGUC